GAAUAUUGGUCAAUGGGCGGAAGCCUGAACCAGCCAUGCCGCGUGCAGGAAGACGGCCCUACGGGUUGUAAACUGCUUUUGUACCGGAAUAAACCUUGAUUCGUGAAUCAAGCUGAAUGUACGGUAAGAAUAAGGAUCGGCUAACUCCGUGCCAGCAGCCGCGGUAAUACGGAGGAUCCGAGCGUUAUCCGGAUUUAUUGGGUUUAAAGGGUGCGUACGCGGCUUUUUAAGUCAGGGGUGAAAGACGGUAGCUCAACUAUCGCAGUGCCUUUGAUACUGAAGAGCUUGAAUACACUUGAGGUAGGCGGAAUGUGACAAGUAGCGGUGAAAUGCAUAGAUAUGUCACAGAACACCAAUUGCGAAGGCAGCUUACUAAAGUGUGAUUGACGCUGAGGCACGAAAGCGUGGGGAUCAAACAGGAUUAGAUACCCUGGUAGUCCACGCCCUAAACGAUGAAUACUCGAUGUUGGCGAUAUACGGUCAGCGUCUAAGCGAAAGCGUUAAGUAUUCCACCUGGGGAGUACGCCCGCAAGGGUGAAACUCAAAGGAAUUGACGGGGGCCCGCACAAGCGGAGGAGCAUGUGGUUUAAUUCGAUGAUACGCGAGGAACCUUACCCGGGCUUGAAAGUUAGUGAAUGAUCCAGAGACGGAUCAGUCCUUCGGGACACGAAACUAGGUGCUGCAUGGCUGUCGUCAGCUCGUGCCGUGAGGUGUUGGGUUAAGUCCCGCAACGAGCGCAACCCCUAUGUUUAGUUGCCAGCACGUUAAGGUGGGGACUCUAAACAGACUGCCUAUGCAAAUAGAGAGGAAGGAGGGGACGACGUCAAGUCAUCAUGGCCCUUACGUCCGGGGCUACACCCGUGCUCCAAUGGAUGGUACAGCGGGCAGCUACCUGGCAACAGGAUGCCAAUCUCGUAAAGCCAUUCACAGUUCGGAUCGGGGUCUGCAACUCGACCCCGUGAAGUUGGAUUCGCUAGUAAUCGCAUAUCAGCAAUGAUGCGGUGAAUACGUUCCCGG
rnacentral:rRNA from 1 species